rnacentral:antisense_RNA from 1 species
CUCGAUGGUGGCUGUUCGCAGGGCGCCCUAGGGCGCGCCGUUUUUUUGCAUGUCUUUCCCGGUCGACUAACCUGCGUUCAGCCGCCACCCCC